AGUAGGCCAUGUGGCCGCGUGCGGCACGGCGCAGGCCGUGAGCCGCAUGAGGAAAGUCCGAGCUCCAUAGGGCAGGGUGCUGGAUAACGUCCAGCGGAGGCGACUCCAGGGAAAGUGCAACAGAGAGAUACCGCCGCGCUUCGGCGCGGUAAGGAUGGAAAGGCGAGGUAAGAGCUCACCGGCGGGCCGGGCGACCGGCGCGUCCUGUAAACCCCACCCGGUGCAAGAUUGGAAUGGGAGCGCUUGCGGGGAAACCCGCAGAAAUGGCUGCCCGUCAGGCUCCUGAUAAUCGCGCGAGCGCGGCGGUGACGCCGGGCCAAGAUAGAUGGUCACACGCCGGGAGCGAUCCCGGCCGACAGAACUCGGCUUAUUGCUUGC
rnacentral:RNase_P_RNA from 1 species